UACGUAGGGGGCAAGCGUUGUCCGGAAUCAUUGGGCGUAAAGAGCGUGUAGGCGGCCCGAUAAGUCCGCUGUGAAAGUCCAGGGCUCAACCCUGGAAUGCCGGUGGAUACUGUCGGGCUCGAAUCCGGAAGAGGUGAGUGGAAUUCCUGGUGUAGCGGUGAAAUGCGCAGAUAUCAGGAGGAACACCAGUGGCGAAGGCGACUUCCUGGCCUGUUCUUGACGCUGAGGCGCGAAAGCUAGGGUAGCAAACGGG
rnacentral:rRNA from 1 species